AUUCAGUCAUGCAUAGCAUAUCAAUAAGCGGAGGAAAAGAAACUAACAAGGAUUCCCUUAGUAACGGCGAGUGAAGCGGGAAGAGCUCAAAUUUGAAAUCUUCAAGGUUUUACCUUGACGAAUUGUAGUUUAAAGAAGUGUUUUCUGUUGAAGUUUUGGUAAAAGUUCUUUGGAAUAGGACAUCAUAGAGGGUGAGAAUCCCGUAUUUGACCAUCACUUUCAGCUUUGUGAUACACUUUCAAAGAGUCGGAUUGUUUGGGAAUGCAGUCCAAAAUGGGUGGUAAAUUUCAUCUAAAGCUAAAUAUUGGCGAGAGACCGAUAGCGAACAAGUACCGUGAGGGAAAGAUGAAAAGAACUUUGAAAAGAGAGUUAAACAGUACGUGAAAUUGUCAAAAGGGAAGCGUUUGACACCAGUAGUUGUUUUCUCGAAAAUCAAUUAAAAAGAGUUGGAUUUUGUGUUGUAUUGACUUUAUCAGCUUUCUUCACUCUUUUCCAGCUUUUUUUAAUGCACUUUUCGUUUAACAAGUCAACAUCAGUUUCUUUUGUUGUAAAAAGGUCAUUGGAAGGUGGCUUUCUCUUCGGAGAAAGUGUUUAUAGCCUUUGACUCAUGCAAUCGGAGAGACUGAGGUCUGCAGCGUAGAUCCUUCGGGGUUAGAUACAUUUGUGCUAAGUUAUAGCUUUUCAUAGACAACUUGUUGACUAUGUUUAGUCUUGUAGCUUACUCGCUUAUGCUAUUUUACCUACGCUUAGGAUGUUGAACUCUAUCACACACAG
rnacentral:rRNA from 1 species